rnacentral:rRNA from 1 species
AAAGCUCAAAUUUAAAAUCUGUUAGCCUUUGGUUGACCGAGUUGUAAUUUAGAGAAGCGUUAUCCGCGUCGGACUGUGUAUAAGUUUCCUGGAAUGGGACAUCAUAGAGGGUGAGAAUCCCGUCUUUGACACAGACUACCGAGGCUUUGUGAUGCGCUCUCGAAGAGUCGAGUUGUUUGGGAAUGCAGCUCAAAAUGGGAGGUAAAUUCCUUCUAAAGCUAAAUAUUGGCGAGAGACCGAUAGCGAA